GCCAAAUUAAGGUGAAACCGCGAAAGGCUCAUUAAAUCAGUUAUGGUUCCUUAGAUCGUANNCACAUUACUUGGAUAACUGUGGUAAUUCUAGAGCUAAUACAUGCAAAUAGAGCUCCAACCGGAGACGGAAGGAGCGCUUUUAUUAGAUCAAAACCAAUUGGUGGCUGGUUUCGGCCAGUCAUCGUUAUACUUGGUGACUCUGAAUAACUUUAUGCUGAUCGCACGGUCUCGCACCGGCGACGCAUCUUUCAAAUGUCUGCCUUAUCAACUGUCGAUGGUAGGUUCUGCGCCUACCAUGGUUGUAACGGGUAACGGGGAAUCAGGGUUCGAUUCCGGAGAGGGAGCCUGAGAAACGGCUACCACAUCCAAGGAAGGCAGCAGGCGCGCAAAUUACCCACUCCCGGCACGGGGAGGUAGUGACGAAAAAUAACGAUACGGGACUCAUCCGAGGCCCCGUAAUCGGAAUGAGUACACUCUAAACCCUUUAACGAGGAUCAAUUGGAGGGCAAGUCUGGUGCCAGCAGCCGCGGUAAUUCCAGCUCCAAUAGCGUAUAUUAAAGUUGUUGCGGUUAAAAAGCUCGUAGUCGAAUUUGUGUCUCGCGCCGUUGGUUCAUCGUUCGCGGUGUUAACUGACGUGCCCGCGAGACGUCCUGCCGGUGGACCAAAGCCGACGUACAUGUGUACAAUUCAAAUUGUGCAUGUGUGCUAGGUGAGGUCCAAAUCAAUCCCGCCACGGUGCCUUUAACCGGGUGCCGAGGUAGGCCGGCACGUUUACUUUGAACAAAUUAGAGUGCUUAAAGCAGGCUAAAAUUUUGCCUGAAUACUGUGUGCAUGGAAUAAUGGAAUAGGACCUCGGUUCUAUUUUGUUGGUUUUCGGAACCCCGAGGUAAUGAUUAAUAGGAACGGAUGGGGGCAUUCGUAUUGCGACGUUAGAGGUGAAAUUCUUGGAUCGUCGCAAGACGGACAGAAGCGAAAGCAUUUGCCAAAAACGCUUUCAUUGAUCAAGAACGAAAGUUAGAGGUUCGAAGGCGAUCAGAUACCGCCCUAGUUCUAACCAUAAACGAUGCCAGCUAGCGAUCCGCCGACGUUCCUCCGAUGACUCGGCGGGCAGCUUCCGGGAAACCAAAGCUUUUGGGUUCCGGGGGAAGUAUGGUUGCAAAGCUGAAACUUAAAGGAAUUGACGGAAGGGCACCACCAGGAGUGGAGCCUGCGGCUUAAUUUGACUCAACACGGGAAACCUCACCAGGCCCGGACACCGGAAGGAUUGACAGAUUGAGAGCUCUUUCUUGAUUCGGUGGGUGGUGGUGCAUGGCCGUUCUUAGUUGGUGGAGCGAUUUGUCUGGUUAAUUCCGAUAACGAACGAGACUCUAGCCUGCUAACUAGGCGUAUUUUGACAUCCUAAAGGCCCGCCAGCAUUGGUCAUUCGUGUCCGGUGUUGUGCGCGGUUUUUACUGUCAGCGUAUUAACAUAUCUUCUUAGAGGGACAGGCGGCUUCUAGCCGCACGAGAUUGAGCAAUAACAGGUCUGUGAUGCCCUUAGAUGUUCUGGGCCGCACGCGCGCUACACUGAAGGAAUCAGCGUGUCCUCCCUGGCCGAACGGCCCGGGUAACCCGCUGAACCUCCUUCGUGCUAGGGAUUGGGGCUUGCAAUUGUUCCCCAUGAACGAGGAAUUCCCAGUAAGCGCGAGUCAUAAGCUCGCGUUGAUUACGUCCCUGCCCUUUGUACACACCGCCCGUCGCUACUACCGAUUGAAUGAUUUAGUGAGGUCUUCGGACUGGUACGCGAUGGCGUUUCGGCGUUGUCGAUGUUGCUGGGAAGAUGACCAAACUUGAUCAUUUAGAGGAAGUAAAAGUCGUAACAAGGUUUCCGU
rnacentral:rRNA from 1 species